CGUCGGAAGUCAGAUGUGUGAUUAUUAUUUUCGAUGAUAUUUAUUAAUUUUUAUCAGAGUAGGUGUUGAAAAUUUACGAUCAUGAUUGUCUUUGAUUGAUGAGAGUAGUGGCUGGUAUUGAUAUGUGGUAAUAAAAUUAUGCUGAAUUAUCGAUAUUAGAUAAUUUUCAUUCUCAAUGGGAGUAAAGUGGAGGAACGGUUUGGUAACGGCGACUGCAGUUAGCGGUCGUACGGUCAUCGACUCGCGACAAUUAAAUCGAUGCAGUGAACACAGCUCCAAACGUCACCGCAGUUUGACGGCCAAGUGUUAAAAUACGACCGCGAGAUAUCGUUAGGAGAGCGAGUGUCAUAGAAGACGUGACUUCGUAUGUAAGCACUGUUAAAAAUCUAUCAUAAUUAACAGUGUAAAAAAAAAAAACAAAGAAUAAUUCGAAAAACAAGAGUCUGAGUAUGUGAUGACGGUGAUUAGAAACGUAUUGUUAUAGAGUUUCCAAUAGUUUGAAAUAAAGCAAUAGAACUA